UACGAAGGGUGCAAGCGUUACUCGGAAUUACUGGGCGUAAAGCGUGCGUAGGUGGUUCGUUAAGUCUGUCGUGAAAGCCCCGGGCUCAACCUGGGAAUGGCGAUGGAUACUGGCGGGCUAGAGUGCGGUAGAGGAGAGUGGAAUUCCCGGUGUAGCAGUGAAAUGCGUAGAGAUCGGGAGGAACAUCAGUUGCGAAGGCGGGUCUCUGGACCAGCACUGACACUGAGGCACGAAAGCGUGGGGAGCAAACAGG
rnacentral:rRNA from 1 species